rnacentral:rRNA from 1 species
CAGGUCUUGACAUCCUCUGACAAUCCUAGAGAUAGGACGUCCCCUUCGGGGCAGAGUGACAGGUGGUGGUGCAUGGUUGUCGUCAGCUCGUGUCGUGAGAUGUUGGGUUAAGUCCCGCAACGAGCGCAACCCUUGAUCUUAGUUGCCAGCAUUCAGUUGGGCACUCUAAGGUGACUGCCGGUGACAAACCGGAGGAAGGUGGGGAUGACGUCAAAUCAUCAUGCCCCUUAUGACCUGGGCUACACACGUGCUACAAUGGACAGAACAAAGGGCAGCAAAACCGCGAGGUUAAGCCAAUCCCACAAAUCUGUUCUCAGUUCGGAUCGCAGUCUGCAACUCGACUGCGUGAAGCUGGAAUCGCUAGUAAUCGCGGAUCAGCAUGCCGCGGUGAAUACGUUCCCGGGCCUUGUACACACCGCCCGUCACACCACGAGAGUUUGUAACACCCGAAGUCGGUGAGGUAACCUUUUAGGAGCCAGCCGCCGAAGGUGGGACAGAUGAUUGGGGUGAAGUCGUAACAAGGUAGCCGUAAAGCC